GACGAACGCUGGCGGCGUGCUUAACACAUGCAAGUCGAACGGAAGGGCCCUGCUUUUGUGGGGUGCUCGAGUGGCGAACGGGUGAGUAACACGUGAGUAACCUGCCCUUGACUUUGGGAUAACUUCAGGAAACUGGGGCUAAUACCGGAUAGGAGCUCCUGCUGCAUGGUGGGGGUUGGAAAUUUUCGGCGGGUGGGGAUGGACUCGCGGCUUAUGAGCUUGUUGGUGGGGGAGUGGCUUACCCAGGCUUUGACGGGUAGCCGGCCUGAGAGGGUGACCGGCCACAUUGGGACUGAGAUACGGCCCAGACUCCUACGGGAGGCAGCAGUGGGGAAUCUUGCACAAUGGGCGGAAGCCUGAUGCAGCAACGCCGCGUGCGGGAUGACGGCCUUCGGGUUGUAAACCGCUUUCGCCUGUGACGAAGCGUGAGUGACGGUAAUGGGUAAAGAAGCACCGGCUAACUACGUG
rnacentral:rRNA from 1 species